CCUACGGGAGGCAGCAGUGAGGAAUAUUGGUCAAUGGGCGCGAGCCUGAACCAGCCAAGUAGCGUGAAGGAUGACUGCCCUACGGGUUGUAAACUUCUUUUAUAAAGGAAUAAAGUGAGGCACGUGUGCCUUUUUGUAUGUACUUUAUGAAUAAGGAUCGGCUAACUCCGUGCCAGCAGCCGCGGUAAUACGGAGGAUCCGAGCGUUAUCCGGAUUUAUUGGGUUUAAAGGGAGCGUAGAUGGGUUGUUAAGUCAGUUGUGAAAGUUUGCGGCUCAACCGUAAAAUUGCAAUUGAUACUGGCAGCCUUGAGUACAGUUGAGGUAGGCGGAAUUCGUGGUGUAGCGGUGAAAUGCUUAGAUAUCACGAAGAACCCCGAUUGCGAAGGCAGCAUGCCGGCUUCCGACUGACGCUGAAGCACGAAAGCGUGGGGAUCGAACAGGAUUAGAUACCCCUGUAGUC
rnacentral:rRNA from 1 species